GUCCGUGCUCUGUAGGAAUCUACUGGGAUACUACUCAUUUCAGACGCCUCUUCUUCUUCUCUCUUCAUCGUCUUCUUCUUCUCUCUUUCCUUUCUGUAAAAAACACCAACAUCCCUAUCUUUUUUUCUCCUCUCCUCAACUCUCUCUCUUCUCCUUCACGCGCUGGAAUCUAUUGGGACAAAAUACCCGCUGCCGCUGCCAGUGAUUGAAUAAUUAGUGCACUAGAGAAGUACUGUGUGCCAGCCAAUAUCUUGAGCUUUGUACUGUCAAUUGGGACGCAAUACCAGCUGCCAUGCGAGUUCAUUCGAAUGCUUGUCACACCCCAGCACAACGAUCUUGAUUGGCGAUUAUGCAGCUUAGGAUUCGUCAAAAAAAUUAAAAAAAAAAUUAUGGAACUAAAGACACGAAAUGGAAAGCAACCAUCGUGGGUCGCGCAUACCGAAAAGUUUCUGUAUAUCUUGUCCCUUGUAGUACGAUAUCAGGCCCUAACAUACCGAACCUUGGUGGGGUUGGGAGGUGGCGGCAGCCUGGUGAUACAUGGACGGAAGUCGCUUUUACCGGAGAAAUAAAUUUACUCUACUAUGCUUUUAAGGCUCGUUCAAAUUAGAGAUAAUCAUCCUCCCUACACUCGGCCCAUUCACACAUUGACCGAGAAGAAAACCGAUGCAACUCUUACACCCUGCUCAUCCUUAACAGAGAGCCCAGGGACGCCAUUGAUCUCUUAGGUCAUAUUAACUUUCGGGGCUAGAUUGGCAUCAAUCCGUAACCAAAUAGUCAAACAAGGAACCAAGGCAUCUGACUCAUACUAGCCAGUAGCUACCUCCAUAUAUGAA
rnacentral:lncRNA from 1 species